rnacentral:rRNA from 1 species
ACUACGGGUGGCAGCAGUGGGGAAUAUUGCACAAUGGAGGCAAGUCUGAUGCAGCCACGCCGCGUGCGCGAUGACGUAUUUCGGUAUUUAAAACUCUAUCAGCAGGGAAGAAAAUGACGGUACCUGAGUAAGAAGCUGCGUCUAAAUACGUGCCAGCAGCCGCUGUAAUACGUAAGGACCAGCCGUUUUCCGGAUUUAAUGGACGUAAAGGGCGCGUAGGCUGCCUGCUAAGUCAGAUGUGAAAUACCGGGGCUGAACCCGGGGGCUGCAGUGGAAACUGGCGGGCUUGAGUGCCGGAGGGGCAGGCGGAAUUCCUGGUGUAGCGGUGAAAUGCGUAGAUAUUAGGAGGAACACCAGUGGCGAAGGCAAGCGGCUGGACGGUGACUGACGCUGAGGCUCGAAAGCGUGGGGAGCAAACAGGAUUAGAUACCCGUGUAGUC